GAUUAAGUUAUUAAGGGCGCACGGUGGAUGCCUUGGCACUAGAAGCCGAUGAAGGACGUUACUAACGACGAUAUGCUUUGGGGAGCUGUAAGUAAGCUUUGAUCCAGAGAUUUCCGAAUGGGGAAACCCAACAUGAGUUAUGUCAUGUUAUCGAUAUGUGAAUACAUAGCAUAUCAGAAGGCACACCCGGAGAACUGAAACAUCUUAGUACCCGGAGGAAGAGAAAGAAAAUUCGAUUCCCUUAGUAGCGGCGAGCGAAGCGGGAAGAGCCCAAACCAACAAGCUUGCUUGUUGGGGUUGUAGGACACUCUAUACGGAGUUACAAAGGACGAUAUUAGACGAAUCAUCUGGAAAGAUGAAUCAAAGAAGGUAAUAAUCCUGUAGUCGAAAAUAUUGUCUCUCUUGA
rnacentral:rRNA from 1 species